UACAGAGGGGGCAAGCGUUGUUCGGAAUUACUGGGCGUAAAGGGCGCGUAGGCAGCCUGUUAAGUCGGACGUGAAAUCCCUCGGCUCAACCGGGGAACUGCGUCCGAUACUGGCGGGCUUGAAUUCGGGAGAGGGAUGUGGAAUUCCAGGUGUAGCGGUGAAAUGCGUAGAUAUCAGGAGGAACACCGAUGGCGAAGGCAGGUCUCUGGGCAUUAACUGACGCUGAGGAGCGAAAGCAUGGGGAGCGAACAGG
rnacentral:rRNA from 1 species